CCGUUCCGUGAACUGCAUGUGCUGUUGUCUCCUCCGCACACCUGGCAUGCAUCCCAAACCUUCUGGGAGUCCAUCCUGCCAUCACAGCCGAAGGUCUGUGCAAAGAGGUACAGUUUGUCCAGCUACCUCAAUCUCCUCCUCCUCCAACUUCCCUGCCAUGAUGGACUGUACCCUGGAACUGUGAGUCAGAAUAAACCUUCCUUCUGGA